CUCCAAGUCCUCACCAAGGUGUGGCCCCGGGGCCCUGUCCGUCAUCGGAGGGGCUGCGGGCUGGGGACUCCAGGCCUGAGCCUCCUGCAAUCUCUGCUGCUGGUGCGCGUCCCAGAGCCCUGAUCCUGCGCUGUCGCUCGCCUGCUCACAGACCUGUGGUGGCCGCCAUGGCCUGUCUGUCCCAGACAGAGGAGGGCGCAGAGCAGAGAGGAUGGCCCUUCUGGCCAGCCCUACUGACACUCCUUCUCCCAAACAGCUGUGUGCCCCAUGGCUUUGCUCAGUCACCCCUCUGUGGUCCCUGCACUGCCUGUGGUGUGAACAGAGCAUUCCUGAAGCUGGGAGCCAGCUUUGGGAGGCAAGAAGGGGAGCUGCCCAGAUGGCUGGAGGCCAGGCGGGUGCGCUGCACAUCUGGGGCAGGCUCAGUCGCCGUGUGUCAGUGGCACAGGGCUCGUUUCCCGAGCCUCAGUCUCCACAUCUGGCCGAGUGCAGGUCGAGCGAGUAAGGAUUAAAAAGCCAGGGCGGGUAAAGCCCCCAGCGCGCUGCCGGGCACCCAGUCGUACCCAAUCGGCGGUAGGCAUUGGUGCGCAUCCUGCGCAAGGGCAUUCUUCACAGACCGAGAGCGCCUCUCUCCAGCGCUGGCCUUGACCUGGGACUUGCUGGGUGAGGGCCAGGCUAGUGGCAUCAGCUCGUGCACCCAUGAGGGAAUGCCUCAGGAAGAGGAAGUCACCAUCGUAAGAAAAGGAACACUCAUUCCUUCAAAAUUCUCAUCGAAAGGGACUGGUCACCUACAGUCACUGGCAGGGCCUGAACAGAACAGAAAGUGGAGGAAGGAAGAACUCGCCCUCCCUGCCUGAUGACUCGAGCUGGGACAUUGAUCUUCUUCUGGCCUCGCGCUCCUGGUUCCCAGGCCUUUGGACUUGGACCGGACUUCACCAGCUUCCCUGUGUCUCUACCUAGAAGACGGUGGAACUUCUCAGCCUGCGUAACUGUGUGAGCCAGUUCCUGGCAAUAAAUCUUUUCCUACAUAUAUGUAUCCUAUUGGUUCUGUUUCUCUAGAGAACCCUGACUCAUAUGGUUCUGAGUGUCUCGGGGAAGGAGUGUCAUCUGAG
rnacentral:lncRNA from 1 species